GACGAACCGUGCGAACGUUGUUCGGAAUCACUGGGCUUAAAGGGUGCGUAGGCGGGCUGCCAAGUUCAGGGGUGAAAUCGUUCGGCCCAACCGGACAAGGGCCCCUGAUACUGGUGGCCUCGAGGGAGGUAGGGGUCGAUGGAACUUCCGGUGGAGCGGUGAAAUGCGUAGAUAUCGGAAGGAACGCCGGUGGCGAAAGCGAUCGACUGGACCUCUUCUACGGCUGAGGCACGAAAGCCAGGGGAGCAA
rnacentral:rRNA from 1 species